CUUAGCUCAGUUGGAUAGAGCACCGGCCUUCUAAGCCGUAGGUCACAGGUUCGAAUCCUGUA
rnacentral:tRNA from 1 species